CAGAAAUAUAUGUUGAUGCGAAAUAUCGGACAACAACUACCUUUCCCGGAUGAGCUAUUUCUGCUGGGCGACAAAAUUUAUUCUAACAGACAUCCAGUACUGACAGCUUAUACUAGACAGCAAAUUGUUAGAAAACCCCGGAUUAUGCAGAGAAAAUGUAGAAAGUUAAAUAGACUGAUAACCCACUAUAGAGUUAAGGUUGAACACGCAAUCGGAGAAUUAAAAAAAUAUAAAGUUAUGGGGACUUUGUGGAGACAUCCAAGACAGCGAUUAACAUCUGUUGUGACCAUAUACGCUGUUUUCGUUUGCCGCCGUAAAGACUUAUUUACAUAAUAAAA
rnacentral:lncRNA from 1 species